GUUAUAUGGUCAAGUGAAGAAGCGCAUACGGUGGAUGCCUUGGCAGUCAGAGGCGAUGAAAGACGUGGUAGCCUGCGAAAAGCUUCGGGGAGUCGGCAAACAGACUUUGAUCCGGAGAUCUCUGAAUGGGGGAACCCACCUAGGAUAACCUAGGUAUCUUGUACUGAAUCCAUAGGUGCAAGAGGCGAACCAGGGGAACUGAAACAUCUAAGUACCCUGAGGAAAAGAAAUCAACCGAGAUUCCCUUAGUAGUGGCGAGCGAACGGGGAUUAGCCCUUAAGCUUCAUUGAUUUUAGCGGAACGCUCUGGAAAGUGCGGCCAUAGUGGGUGAUAGCCCCGUACGCGAAAGGAUCUUUGAAGUGAAAUCGAGUAGGACGGAGCACGAGAAACUUUGUCUGAACAUGGGGGGACCAUCCUCCAAGGCUAAAUACUACUGACUGACCGAUAGUGAACCAGUACCGUGAGGGAAAGGCGAAAAGAACCCCGGAGAGGGGAGUGAAAUAGAACCUGAAACCGUAUGCGUACAAGCAGUGGGAGCCUACUUGUUAGGUGACUGCGUACCUUUUGUAUAAUGGGUCAGCGACUUAUAUUCAGUGGCAAGCUUAACCGUAUAGGGUAGGCGUAGCGAAAGCGAGUCUUAAUAGGGCGUUUAGUCGCUGGGUAUAGACCCGAAACCGGGCGAUCUAUCCAUGAGCAGGUUGAAGGUUAGGUAACACUGACUGGAGGACCGAACCCACUCCCGUUGAAAAGGUAGGGGAUGACUUGUGGAUCGGAGUGAAAGGCUAAUCAAGCUCGGAGAUAGCUGGUUCUCCUCGAAAGCUAUUUAGGUAGCGCCUCAUGUAUCACUCUGGGGGGUAGAGCACUGUUUCGGCUAGGGGGUCAUCCCGACUUACCAAACCGAUGCAAACUCCGAAUACCCAGAAGUGCCGAGCAUGGGAGACACACGGCGGGUGCUAACGUCCGUCGUGAAAAGGGAAACAACCCAGACCGCCAGCUAAGGUCCCAAAGUUGUGGUUAAGUGGUAAACGAUGUGGGAAGGCUUAGACAGCUAGGAGGUUGGCUUAGAAGCAGCCAUCCUUUAAAGAAAGCGUAAUAGCUCACUAGUCGAGUCGGCCUGCGCGGAAGAUGUAACGGGGCUCAAACCACACACCGAAGCUGCGGGUGUCACGUAAGUGACGCGGUAGAGGAGCGUUCUGUAAGCCUGUGAAGGUGAGUUGAGAAGCUUGCUGGAGGUAUCAGAAGUGCGAAUGCUGACAUGAGUAACGACAAUGGGUGUGAAAAACACCCACGCCGAAAGACCAAGGGUUCCUGCGCAACGUUAAUCGACGCAGGGUUAGUCGGUUCCUAAGGCGAGGCUGAAAAGCGUAGUCGAUGGGAAACAGGUUAAUAUUCCUGUACUUCUGGUUACUGCGAUGGAGGGACGGAGAAGGCUAGUGGUAGGCUGAAAUCUUAGGUAAAUCCGGGGUUUCAAGGCCGAGAGCUGAUGACGAGUCGUCUUUUAGAUGACGAAGUGGUUGAUGCCAUGCUUCCAAGAAAAGCUUCUAAGCUUCAGGUAACCAGGAACCGUACCCCAAACCGACACAGGUGGUCGGGUAGAGAAUACCAAGGCGCUUGAGAGAACUCGGGUGAAGGAACUAGGCAAAAUGGCACCGUAACUUCGGGAGAAGGUGCGCCGGCUAGGGUGAAGGAUUUACUCCGUAAGCUCUGGCUGGUCGAAGAUACCAGGCCGCUGCGACUGUUUAUUAAAAACACAGCACUCUGCAAACACGAAAGUGGACGUAUAGGGUGUGACGCCUGCCCGGUGCCGGAAGGUUAAUUGAUGGGGUUAGCGCAAGCGAAGCUCUUGAUCGAAGCCCCGGUAAACGGCGGCCGUAACUAUAACGGUCCUAAGGUAGCGAAAUUCCUUGUCGGGUAAGUUCCGACCUGCACGAAUGGCGUAACGAUGGCGGCGCUGUCUCCACCCGAGACUCAGUGAAAUUGAAAUCGCUGUGAAGAUGCAGUGUAUCCGCGGCUAGACGGRAAGACCCCGUGAACCUUUACUGUAGCUUUGCACUGGACUUUGAGCCUGCUUGUGUAGGAUAGGUGGGAGGCUUUGAAGCGUGGACGCCAGUUCGCGUGGAGCCAUCCUUGAAAUACCACCCUGGCAUGCUUGAGGUUCUAACUCUGGUCCGUGAUCCGGAUCGAGGACAGUGUAUGGUGGGCAGUUUGACUGGGGCGGUCUCCUCCUAAAGAGUAACGGAGGAGUACGAAGGUGCGCUCAGACCGGUCGGAAAUCGGUCGCAGAGUAUAAAGGCAAAAGCGCGCUUGACUGCGAGACAGACACGUCGAGCAGGUACGAAAGUAGGUCUUAGUGAUCCGGUGGUUCUGUAUGGAAGGGCCAUCGCUCAACGGAUAAAAGGUACUCCGGGGAUAACAGGCUGAUACCGCCCAAGAGUUCAUAUCGACGGCGGUGUUUGGCACCUCGAUGUCGGCUCAUCACAUCCUGGGGCUGAAGCCGGUCCCAAGGGUAUGGCUGUUCGCCAUUUAAAGUGGUACGCGAGCUGGGUUUAGAACGUCGUGAGACAGUUCGGUCCCUAUCUGCCGUGGACGUUUGAGAUUUGAGAGGGGCUGCUCCUAGUACGAGAGGACCGGAGUGGACGAACCUCUGGUGUUCCGGUUGUCACGCCAGUGGCAUUGCCGGGUAGCUAUGUUCGGAAAAGAUAACCGCUGAAAGCAUCUAAGCGGGAAACUUGCCUCAAGAUGAGAUCUCACUGGGAACUUGAUUCCCCUGAAGGGCCGUCGAAGACUACGACGUUGAUAGGCUGGGUGUGUAAGCGUUGUGAGGCGUUGAGCUAACCAGUACUAAUUGCCCGUGAGGCUUGACCAUAUAACACCCAAACA
rnacentral:rRNA from 1 species